CUUACCUUAAUAGUAAGAGUGACGGGCGAUGUGUGCAUAUUUUAGAGCUAAAAUCAAAAUUAUAAUCUUUUAAUUUUUACUAUCAAAUCCACCUUCAUUAAAAAUAUUUAAAAAUUAAAUUCGUCUAAAUAACUUUAUUGUAACCCAUCUCUACUUAAAUAUAAGCUACACCUUGAUCUGAUAUAAAUUUUAUUUUAAAUUAUUGAAAAUUAUUUUUCUUAUAAAAUAUUCUAAUAACGACGGUAUAUAAACUGAAAACAAAUUUAAGUAAGGUUCAUCGUGGAUUAUCAAUUACAGGACAGGUUCCUCUGAAUAGACUAAAAUACCGCCAAAUUUUUUAAGUUUCAAGAACAUAACUAAUACUACCUAAGNGUUUUUUAAUACAUUUUAAAUAAUA
rnacentral:rRNA from 1 species